UACGGAGGGGGCUAGCGUUGUUCGGAAUUACUGGGCGUAAAGCGCACGUAGGCGGCUUUGUAAGUCAGAGGUGAAAGCCCAGGGCUUAACCCUGGAAUUGCCUUUAAGACUGCAUCGCUAGAAUCGUGGAGAGGUGAGUGGAAUUCCGAGUGUAGAGGUGAAAUUCGUAGAUAUUCGGAAGAACACCAGUGGCGAAGGCGACUCACUGGACAGGUAUUGACGCUGAGGUGCGAAAGCGUGGGGAGCGAACAGG
rnacentral:rRNA from 1 species